AUGAGCUGGAGAGUGGAGCUACUGCUAGAGAAAGACUCACCCCCAGCAACUGUGGAGGAGGCAGUGCUAUCCCCUGCCAAGAUGAAGCUGCUGUUGCUGUGUCUGGGGCUGACCCUCGUCUGUGCCCAGCAGGAAGAAAACAAUAACACUGUGACAAGCAACUUUGAUCUGCCAAAGAUUUCAGGAGAGUGGUAUUUUGUUCUCAUAGCCUCUAACCAGAGAGAAGAGAUAGAAGAAGAUGGAAAUAUGAGGGUUUUUGUGGAACACAUUGGUUACCAGGGGGAAUCUUCUCUGACUUUUAAGUUGCAUGAAAUAUCAUGGACACAAUGUAGUUAACAUACUUGAAGUGGACUAUGAUAAUUACAUAUUUUUUAAUGACAAGAAUUUCAGGGAUGGGGAAACAUUCCAACUGAUGGAGCGCUAUGGUAGAGUAUUUUCAUGCUGACACUCAUCUUGGGAUGGGAAAAGGGGGGAAGGCAAGAACCUUAGAUACAAAGUGGUCUUCCCAACUUAUUCUGGGCCAUCUCUCUUUCUCUGAACACAGAUGCUUACCUUUAAUAAUCCCUAGGCUCAGUGAUAGGGAAUUAUGAUCUUUCAUUGUGCUAGAAAGAUAUCCUACUAAUGUCAAAUUGGGCAUCCAAUGGGUGCCAUUCAUUUUCCCAUCUAUCUGGAUCCUGGUCCCCUCAUUUGCCUCUAUGAUGAAUAUCUAAGACAUGACAGUUACUGUCACUCUUCCCACAGCCCAAACACCAGAUGUGAGCUCACAGAUCAAGGAGAGGUUUGUGAAAUAUUGUGAAGAACAUGAAAUUUUUAAGGAAAACAUACUUGACUUGACCAAAGUUGAUAAGUUUAGAUUUCUGGUGUUCUCUUCCUAAAUUCCUGUGUUACAGAAAGAAACAAUCUCAAGGAAGUAAUACCCCCCAAAUCAGUCCCCUCUGUGCUAACUUGGAGAAUCAUCUGGUUUCUCUCUGAAAAAUAAACUGGUGUUGGUGUCUGAAUUUGUUCUGUUCUCCCUCGACAGAUCGAUGUCUCUAGGCCUGAGAUGGGGGAGCAGCCUAAGCCUUCAGGUUGGUGAUUUCUGACUCUAAUGGAGAGAGGGUGGCCCAGGGACCAGUGCCUUCCAACAGCAUUAGGAGUUUGCACCCAAAAUAAUUUGGUAGGGAUGCUUGUGAGGAAAAGCUUGAAAUCUGGAAUUGGAAGACCUGGAUAGAGGACUCAAUCCUCCCAUGAGCUUUGAGCAAAUAACCUAAAACUUAAAAAGGAAACAAUGGACCAGGUGCGGUACCUCAUACCUGUAAUCCCAGCACUUAGGGAGACAGAGGUGGGAGGAUUGCUUGAGCCCAGGAGUUCGAGACCAACUUGGGUAACAUAGCAAGAUGCGAUUCUCCAUGAAAGGGAGAAAAAAAAAAAGACCAAAAAAAAAAAAAAAAAAAAAGAGGAAACAACCAUGCCUAGCAUACAGAGCUGCUGUGGAUAUAAUACUUGUGAAAAGGGCCCAGUAAUUGCUAAAAAUCACUAAGACUUCAUGUUCGAAAUGGAAAAAGAGUAGUAGGUUGUAUGAAACUCAAAUAUGUUUCUGUGUUUGUGGACCAUCUCCCAGGAGGCCAUCUCACCCUCCAACUUAUGAUCCACAUUUCUUCCUUUGUACUCUGUAUGUCCUUGACUUCUAACCUGGGAAUGGGACUGUCUGACCUUCCCAUUUUCUGCCAACCUGGAAAAUAGACUCUAAGUUUCCUCAACUGCCUUUGAUUUAUUGUGGGGCUUUAUUCAGAUAAUGUAUGUGAAAGUCUUAGCAGCUUGCAUAAAGCAAGUAUUUAACAAGAGAUAUCUACAGAGUUUGCCAUUAUUCCUCAACGUAUCAAAAAUUCUUCAAAACUUCUAAUGCUGAAGAUGGCAGAAACAAACCUAGGACCCUUUAUUACUUCCUUUCUCUUUUUCAUAAAUUCACUUGGGGGAUGGUUAAGAUGGCAUUAACAAUAGUAAAAAAGCAAAAGUCAAUACUCAACAUCCUUCCUCCUCCUAUUCUGGUUUACAACAUAAGUUAGAACACAGGGCCGGAUCCAUUUCUUUAUUAUUUUUCUCUAUAAUAGAAUUUAUCUUCAUCCUUCAUGCAAUCCAAGGAAUGUUUAACAAAUUCCUGUGUUAUUUCUCUUCUCUGCUUAAUUAGUAUGAAUGCUUUGUCACCUGGACUCUGAUAUCCUCCCUUCCUGGACCCCACAUCCUCUUGUGACAAGUUCUGUGACCUGGUUUCCAUCAUGUCACACACAAAGACAUCAUCCCUGCAUCUUUAGAAUCUCCCCUAACUGCAGAAGAAGACUCAGAAAUUCACCAAGGAUUAAAGUUUGCUCUAAAUUUCUGACUUUGUUACAGCCAGGGGAACUCUACAUGAAUAACACCUGACUCCACAUGAUCCAUAAAUAAAUAAUUACCCUUGCAUUCAUGUCAUUUGUCUUUGUAUCUUUGAGAAUGUGAAGCUGUCAGUGAGCGAAUGAAGGGGCUUCCUUGCCCCUGAACCCAUAAUCCUCCUCUAGUGUCUCAAUCUUCUCUGAGCUUCAGGAUUCUCCUUCCUCUGCAGUAAUUCCGUUGGUUAUCCCAAAUCCCCAUGAGUGUUGCUUGCCCUUUGAUUUGCCAAUUUCUUAGUGAUCUGAUAAGACCAUUAUAAAUAAUAUAAGAAUACAAGAUUAGCCCCAUGAUUUCUGCAUCCUAGAAUUCUCUUUUUCAAUUGGGGACACUGACAGUUAGAUGCUGCUGAGGCUGAUACCAGCUUGACAGGGUUUGAGAUGUGCCUCUAGAUCCCAGCAUCUCUAUACCACCAUCCUAUCAGAUGCAUUCAGGGCCCUUUCACACUCUUGAAAAACAUCCUUCAACCACCACAAUUAUCUACUGUGAACACAGUAAGUGAGAUUCCAUUAAACGCAAGCAAUAUCUGUCUUCAGCAACCUGUACCUGGUUUUGUUAGUAGGCAUCAAUGGGGGCUGUUAGUCACUUCUUCUUUUGAAAGUUAACAGGCUUGGGUAAAGGGAAAUGAAAGAUCCUUCGCUACUAGUGACCCUUUCCCAGCACCAGCAGAUUUAAAAAACACUCACCGGGGGCCUGUCAGGGGGUAGGGAAGGAUAGUAGGAGGUAGGGGGAUUGGGGAGGCAUAGCAUUGGAAGAAGUACCUAAUGUAGAUGACGGGGUGAUGGAUGCAGCAAAACCACCAUGGCAUGUGUAUACCUAUACAACAAACCUGCAUGUUCUGCACAUGUACCCCAGAACUUAAAGUAUAAUUUUUAAAAUGUAAAAGUUACCCAUGGGUGUUAGGGCAGAGCAAGAUGGCUGGGGGAUUGUCCUCAAGAAGAAUGGCUUAGUCCUUAUGGGCAUAAAGGUUAGUGAGAGAAGGUUUUCUAGGCAGCCAACGCUCCCAUAUCUUGCUUUGCUCCAAGAUCAGAAGACUAAAUUAGGUUCAGAUUAUUGCCCCUGGAUCAAAUGCUUGGUCUGGUUUACUGAAAUAUGAUAAAAGGUUACACAGAAAGAACCAGUUAGGCUGAAAUCUCUCAUUUUUUGCUGUUGGCAUGUAAGGAACAGAACAGCUGAUGCCCAGAAGUGCAUGACCUAGCAAAGCCUUGAGAACACUUAGAAAAUUAAUAAUAAUACCUGAGUUACUUCACUUAGAAUAAUAGUCUCCAGUCUCAGCCAGGUUACUGCAAAUGUCAUCAACUCAUUCUUUUUUAUGGCUGAGUAGUAUUCCAUCUUAUAUAAACACCACAACCAAACAUUAUAUGUUUUCAUUCAUAAGUGGGAGCUAAGCUAUGAGGACGCAAAGGCAUAAGAAUGACCCAGUGAACCCUGGGGACUCAGGGGGAAGAGACAGGAGGGAAGUGAGGGAUAAAAGACUACAAAUAGGGUACAGUGUAUACUGCUUGAGUGAUAGGUGCACCAAAAUUUCACAAAUCACCACUAAAGAACUUACUCAUGUAACCAAACACCACCUGUUCCCCAUAACCUAUGAAAAUAAAAAAGGUAGCUAUGAAAAAAAUAAAAUUAAUAACAAUAACAAUUGAGGACCACUUUGAUAAGAGAUGGCUGGGUAGUGCCACGUGUUCGGAAACCACAGUCCAGAAGAGAGGCACAUAAAGGUCCUCUGCUAUUUACAAGUCAAGAUAGCAGCUUGAGCUCACACUGAAGCCUACCCCUUCAACUCAAAACAUUUUGUGCAAGUGAGGCAUGAAAUAUUAAUACCCAAAGGAAAAUAGGAAAUGUUCAUAAAUCAGAAACAGAAAAAUCUAGAAUAAUCCCACACACGCACCUUUUUGUUGUUGUUGUAGAGACAGAGUCUUGCUCUGUCACACAGGCUGGAGGGCAGUGGUAUGAUCUUGCCUCACUGCAACCUCUGCCUCCCAGGUUCAAGCAAUUCUUAUGCCUCAGUCUCCCGAGAAGCUGAGAAUACAGGCAUGAGCCACCAUGCCCA
rnacentral:lncRNA from 1 species